UACGUAGGGUGCAAGCGUUAUCCGGAAUUAUUGGGCGUAAAGAGCUCGUAGGCGGUUUGUCGCGUCUGCUGUGAAAAUCCAGGGCUUAACCCUGGACCUGCAGUCGAUACGGGCAGACUUGAGUUCGGCAGGGGAGACUGGAAUUCCUGGUGUAGCGGUGAAAUGCGCAGAUAUCAGGAGGAACACCGGUGGCGAAGGCGGGUCUCUGGGCCGAUACUGACGCUGAGGAGCGAAAGCGUGGGGAGCGAACAGG
rnacentral:rRNA from 1 species